GACGAACGCUGGCGGCGUGCUUAACACAUGCAAGUCGAGCGGUAAGGCCCUUUCGGGGGUACACGAGCGGCGAACGGGUGAGUAACACGUGGGUGACCUGCCCUCAGCUCUGGGAUAAGCCUGGGAAACUGGGUCUAAUACCGGAUAUGACUCCAUGACGCAUGUUGUGGGGUGGAAAGCCUUGUGCGGCUGAGGAUGGGCCCGCGGCCUAUCAGCUUGUUGGUGGGGUGANGGCCUACCAAGGCGACGACGGGUAGCCGGCCUGAGAGGGCGACCGGCCACACUGGGACUGAGACACGGCCCAGACUCCUACGGGAGGCAGCAGUGGGGAAUCUUGCGCAAUGGGCGAAAGCCUGACGCAGCGACGCCGCGUGAGGGAUGACGGCCUGGU
rnacentral:rRNA from 1 species